rnacentral:tRNA from 1 species
UGGUGUAGCGGUUAGCACUCAGGACUCUGAAUUCUGCGACGAGAGUUCAAAUUCUUUU